UGGUUAGCUAGCUCACAACAAUGUUUAUCGUUUUGAUGCUCUGACUUAACGAGGCGUGACAGUGAGCUUGCGCAAGCUUGGAGAAUGACGUAUGAUUUAUGGAAUUAUUGUAGUCUAGGGCUGUCCCAGACUAAGGAUUUACAUAGUCGAAUCAGAAUUGUGAAGUCCUGCCUAUAGUCGAAUCGUGUGUUUUUGUGUGCAGCUAUUGCGAGCCGAAGUUAAACUGAGGCUUAUUGUUGACCAUUUUCUCUCUCUCACUCGCUCGCCAGCCAGUCACCGGGGCCACGGGGCUACAGCGUUCUGUUCAGGCUGCUGCGUCUGCCGCUCUGUGUUGGCUUUUGCACACACACACACACACAGCGGCCUGCAGAGGGCUAGUCUAACUGUUUUGCAUAGUUUGCACUGUAGCUUAAAAUGUGGCACACUGCUGUAAACUCAGCUGCUGGCUGAGAGGAACCAGCUGCUCCUCUCUACCAGGUAAGGUUACCUGCUGGCAGUAAUGUUAAAUAACUGCAGAGAGAGGAGGAGGAGGACAGGAGGAAAGACUAAAACAGACUGAUAUCUUCAUUCUAUGGAAACAAAACUCAGUACUGUGGUGUCAGAUAUCGACUUUAUUAUUGACUUUGCUGUUGUUAACAUUAAUUUUGCUGCUCUGUAAACAACAUUUAGUUGUAUUUAGAAUAUUUAAUAGAAACCCUAUGUUGAAUUUAAAAACAAUCAGGCAGCCAAUAUGCGCACUUCAAUAUUUUUUGGCAAGUGAUCAUCUCAAUAUAUAACAAUGUUAUCGCAGAUCUCAUCGUGCAGGCCUACCUCACUCCUUCGUUCGCUUCAUGUCUUAUUUGGUCUGUUGGUUGUUUGCUAGGAUGGGUGAACACGCAAAAUGGUCAAAGGCUCGGAUAGAUUUUAUUUAAAGCCAGAGAUAGUGCUCGCAGUUAAUAUUUACAGACUAAUGAAGUGUUGCAGGUUGCGGUUGCUAAAGUUGGUUUGAAGUCAGUACAUCAGAGCAGUAACUGUCUGUUGUGGUAAUGCUAAUAAGUUAAAUAUUAUACACACACACACACACAAUAAAGUCAUGUUUCAAAACAGCUACUCCUACUUUCUGCCGUAAUGUAAAUAUUCAAGCUUACAGUGUGCAAGCGCUGUGCAUUUAAUUAGACAUUCUCAUUGGUGUACUUACAGUAUAAUAUUAAUGCACAAUUAUUCGAAAUAUGGCCAAAUGCAAUAAGUGAAUUGGAGACGCUAGUUUUUCGAUAAAGGUAAAAUGUGUCAAAACUGCAUCAUGAUGAAUUGCUGUAUUUCUGAAAAGAUGCCCUGGCCUACAAAUCUUGUUCUCGAGAUUUAAGAAGUCAUGAUUGUUUUGUUUUCUUUCACAUAGUGAUAUAUUUAAUAGUUUCUUAAGUGAAGUUUAAAUUUGAAGUUCUAAUAUAAUAAUUCCGACACAAAUUAUGAUAUAUAUGGCAAUAUCAUGUAUAUAUCAUACCACUAAUUUGUCGUGACCAGUGAUGAGUAUCAUGGUCAAAAGGUAUCACUGAGUGUGUUUUGGGGUAUACCCUUUCUUUAUCUUGACCAUUUCAUGUGGGAUGACUCAUUUUGUGUUUUUUCCAUCCCAGCUGGCAACGGAGGCAUCAGCGUUUAUGAUAAGUAGGGGAUGCAGACGUCUCUGAAGAAGUAGCACAGCAACCCAAUGCUGGUGUAUUUACUAUCACAUCUGACAACGAUUCCAAGGGGACAACCUUUUCCAGCUCUUCUCAGUCCACCAUGCCACAGCUUGAUGUCUUAACCAACUCAGCACUGUACGUUUCAGCUUGUGGCUCAGAUGAUACAGUCCUCCUGGAUGAGGAAUGAAGCGCUUCCAGAAAACGAGAGAACGCUGAUAAUGAUGUCAAACAUUUAAUUGAAUCUGCACUGUCCAUGAAACCUGGUGGAGGUCGUAUCAUCGAAGAAAGCUCUGACUGACUCCUCGCAGCAACAUAUUGUUAAAGGAUGAUCUCAGGAUUUUUAAACCUGGGCCCCAUUUUCACAUAUUUUGGUAUUGAAAUGACUCGUAGGUACAUAAAGUUUUAAAUCAGUGCAGUAGAUGGCUUCCAGGAGACAUUCUGUUUUUAACGGGAAGCUGAAAUCUCAAAGACAAUUCUCACUCUAAAAUCUCGUGAGACACAUUCAACACAAACACACAGCAGGCACACGCCGGCAUCACAACUCUCUCAGGGCUUAUUUGGUAGAUUCUGGCUGGAGUUGAUUGGUAGAUUCCAAAUGAUGGCAUGAUAAUGACGUUUGUUAUGGGCUACAAUUCUCCCCUGGAAUGCACUUUAAACAAACAUUUUCAGUAUUAAGAGAGAUUUUACAUGUACCAUGUCUUUUAACAACAAUUUCAGUAUUUAAAAUAAAUUUGCAGUUUAAUAGUGAGUGCUAAAUGAGCCGUCACACUCAAGAAGAACUACAAACUAAAUUUUGAGGGUAAAUGUUUUUAUUUUUAAUAAAUUGUAUGGAUUACA